CGCUCAAUAUACGAAAAAUAUAGCACAAAGCACCCACGCUUUUAUCACAAUAAUACUAGUACUUUUCGUUCAUUAUUGUUUUACGCUUAUUUUAAAAAUUAUUUUUAACUUUUUAGUUCGAUGUUCUUUAAAAGCGUGUUUUUUAGUUUUUUUAAACUAUAUUUAUUUUUCACUUUUUAGUUACAUGUUAUGAUAGUAGUUACUAUCAAUAUCAUGGUUGUAACGGGUAAAGGGGAAUCAGGGUUCGAUUCCGGAGAGGGAGUCUGAGAAACGGCUACCACAUCCAAGGAAAGCAGCAGGCGCGCAACGUGGAGGUAGUGACGUAAAAUGACGAUACGGGAAUCAUCCUUUGUAAUCGGAAUAAAUACCCUAUAUAUCUCUUAAUGAGAAUAAAGCGUAUUAAUAUAUAAGUUUUAAUAGUAAUUAGAAUAUAUAUUUAUAUAUAUAUAUAUAUACAUGUAAAGCGACUUAAGUACGUAAACGUAUCAUGCACGAGGUAUAGCUGUGUUUUGUUGGCGGGCGGGGCGCGAGGCAUAUAUGGCGGUAGCGGCGUCGGCUGUAGGGAUAUAUAAAUGAAUAUUAACAUAUACGUAUAUAUAAAUAAUAAUAUAUAUAUGUAUAUAUAUAUUAAUAUUAGCGGCGAUGGUAAGAAUAUAUAAUCUUCGCAUAAUAACGUAGCACUUUCGUUGGCGUCGACGACGCGAUGUCCGGCGUGAUCCUCGGGCGUCAAAAGGUUAGCAGCGUUGAUGGCGACAGUACGCGAGUGGAGAUAGGUUUAUUGACGUUGCCACUUUGACAACAGGAAGAAUACUACGGUAUCCUUAGCGGCGGUACGUCGUCGGCCGUGCGGCACUUGCUGGACUUUGCACCGCGGCGUAUAACGCGCGGUGUUGGUCAGUCAAAUACUCAAAAUUAUACAGAAAAAAAUAGUGUUGGCACCGACUGGUGAGCGGGGUGGGGUGAAUGCGUUACGACGGUCUAGUCUCAAGGUCAUAGACGACGGCAUACGCGACAUAAUAACACGUGCCGCGUGGAGUUACAAACUUACAACAUACAACAUACAAACAAUAUACAUGUGAAACUAAUAUAAGCGUGUUAAAAUCAUUCUGUACUAUUCACGGAGUCGUAGCAUGAUUUUGUCUUCUCCUAUAAAUUACUUCUAUUUAUUUUAACAAAAUAGAACACGACGGUUUCAAAAUAACAACUGUUAGAGGAAAAAUUUUUUUUUAAUUUUUUUAAAAAUAUUUUUUUAAGUUUGAAGUUGAUCUUGUAGUGGGUAGAAAGCGUUGAUGGUAACAGGUGGUUCAAUUCAGAUAAUAUCUAUUUUUUUUUAUAUAUUAUAUGAAAUGAAAAUCAAUAAAAGAAGCUAUAGAGAGCCUUUAGAAAUAGGGUUUGACAAAAUAACGAAAACCAAUGCCGUAAGUUAUCAAGAAACAUUUUAAAAUGUAUAUUUAUCAAAAGGUGACAAUGUAGGAGGUGAGUAGUGCAAAUGACGUUCAAGAGGAGAAAAGAACGGGGUGAUUGUACACACUAAUGCCGUAUAUGAGUUGAUUUGAAGUAAUACACAGCUGACACAUCUUGAACGCCCACAAACAAAUCACAUCACCUUAUCAUAGUACGGUAGAUAAUAAACAUGUGUUGCAAAGACGUUUAUUCGCUGUCGACUCAAUCAAAGGUAUUCCAUCGUGAUUCUGUGUUGAUGGCCAAGGCAUGCACCACCGGUUUCGGUGGCGCUGUUGUCAACACCGACAACAUCGCGCGUGUCUGUACCUAUGGACCAGUUGCAUUUGCACCACCAUCGGCGCGGGCUGAUGUAAGAAUGUGUUUUUUAUUGAUUGUUGUUGUUACUUGGUUUGGUCAGUAACGGACAUAACAAAAUCAUAUACACAAACGGCACCUAUUACAUGUUUUUACCAUUCACGGAACAUAUCGAGUUGCAAGGCAAGGCGGCUACAGAAUAAUUUCCAACAGUUUUUAAAAGAUUGUAGUUUCAAAACAAAAGGAAAAUAUUAAUAAAACAUUUGCAAAACAUACAAACAAAUGAGGGCUCCAUUUUUGUAACGUCUCAAGGUAUAAAUUGAUCAUGGCAGAUAAAAAAAGAACUGUAAGCAAUUCGGAAAUCGGACGAUUGGUGUUUGAGAUGCAAAAAAACAUUGUAAACAUUAUGAAUAGACGAAGUGACAGAUGACAGUCGUGGAAGAUUCUCAGUUGAUGAUAUAUGGACUUGACUGAACCAUACGUAAACGAAUGGUAGUUUUGAAGAAACUUGAGCUCUACUAAGUUAGUUUGAGUUGGGGUAUUUGAAUUACGUUUUGUGAAUAUGCGACGAAAACCAAUAAUAGGAACCGGCGAUUCAACCUUCACAAAAUUCCUCCUCUGUUGAGGUAUCCAGGCGGAUGAUACCGUGAGAGUAUAUUAAAAUAAGCGGGAUUGAAGCUUUUACGUUCAUACUAGUUAGAAGGCAAGCAUUGGCAGAUUUGAUAGAAUCAAAUAAAACUUUAACUCUGGAGUCAAUAAGAGUUAUUUGUUUCAUACCGCCGAAUUUGUUGUGGGAAAGUUUCCCAAUUUUUAGCGGGCGUAAUUUGGCGAUACUUUGUCGCUGACCAUGGAUACAACGAUAAUUACCGGGGUCCCGUUAAAAUUGUUCGAAAAAGAUUUCAGGUUAGAAUUUACACUCGAAUUAUUAGUAAUUUUUUUUUACGGUACACGAAUGUAUUGUUUCAGAAUCAUUGUUUACUAUAUUUGGCGUAUUUGUGUUAUAUAUAUCAAGGUCGCUAUUGUUAUUCAUAACAUUAUCGAUAUCCAUAGUAUUAGAAUUACUAUCCAACGUUAGAGUAAUGGCAUCACUAAGAUAUGCCGUAUUAGUUUCAUUCUUAUCGGCCGAUUCUUUAAUAUUGUACUGAAAUUGUAUGUUAGCUGGGAGUAGUUGCAGUUGAUUAUCUAAUAAGUAUUGUAGAUUCGGAGAAACCGGGCUGGUAGGAAGUUUUUUAGACUUACGUUUCGCACUGGCAGAUGACCAUUCGUCGGAGUCUUUUCGAUUUUUGUGCAAAGUUACUUUUAAUGGGGCCAGAACCGUUAUUAGGUGGACGGCCCGGUCCACCCGGUGAAUUGGGCAUACGGAAACUUAAAAAGAAGAAAUUAUGCAAGACUACUUAUGUGAGUUAGAGAUAUACAUCUAAACGCGAUAAUACUAUUCGUAUAAGGAAAACCGGAUUCACAGGUGCGUAAUAAUAACACGACUUAUCGCUACGAUAGCUGAAGCCGAACUGAUGUUGAAUAGUUGGGACAAGUAUAAAUGAAAUCUGACAGAGAUAAAAUUACUAAUGAAAUGCUUCCAUGCAAAUCUAUAGAUAGUGUUUAAUUUAUAGAAUAAAUUGUUUGAUUAUCCCAAAAGCAAAAUGAAAUACUAUUUUUCAGAAUUAUAUCCUGAUUACAAGUUUUAUAAUUUAUAAGUAUAAUAAAUGAAUAAAUACUUAUAGUAAUUAAAUUUAGCAUGAAAUUGAUAUUCAUUAAUUUAAUAUUGUAAUUUUUACGUAGAAUUUAGGAUAUAGAAUAUAGUUCUAAAUAUUUCAAUUAUUGCAUUUAUUUAAACACCAAAAGCUAAGAGUAAAUAAAAUAAUUUAUCAUAAUAAUUUUAUUCAUUAUUAUGAAUUAAAUCAUUUAAUAAAAGGUACUCACCGUUAUUCCAUAAUGU